CAAAGCCAGGCAUUUGUAGGGCUUUGGAACCGAGGUCUGUAACCCACGGGAAGCAGCUGCUGAUUUAUUCCAUCAAUCUCACAUUUGAAAGCUAUCAGUUCUCUGGAUGCCUCAGGUAGCUUUGUCAUUUUUCAUUUAGUUCUAAUUUGCAUCCCCAUGUUCUGCCCUGAAUCCUGAGAGGGGGGAAAAAAAGGCAGAAUAAUGAUGAAAUGUGCAUUUUUCAUUUCGCUUUAUUAAGGUUCCUUAUUUUUACUGAAUUCAGGAUUCUUUGGAGGGUGGUCACUGCCUGCAGAUCUCUGCAGGUUUAAUGGCCAGCCCAGGUCAUGAGAGCUAACAAGCUUUAACAAAAAAUAACUACAAAUGCAAAUCCAGAGAGAAAAAUGAUAUUUUCAGUCAAGGUUUCUGCUUGGUGGUUUCAAUCCUGUUUGGAAUUGGAGACUGAAGGGUUUUUAAGUGAACAGUCUGGUGCCACUGGCUCACACAGGUUUGCAGGACAGGCUCAGGACACAUGGAUGUCUGCUGCCAUCAUUAAAUGAGGAGGGAAGCUUUGAAACCCGCCUGAGGUUCUGCAUUGGCUCUGAAUGAAAGGUGUUGUGCGUCUGAAGUGCCCGGCCCAAGGGCUCUCCAGCAAUGCAAACAGCCAGCACACAAAGCCAUUAAAGCUCGAGUGCCUGGCCAUGAUUGCCUGAAGACAGUUUGCAGCUGAGUCCCGCAGGAACCGGCUUUGUCUGAAAAACCACCCGAGGCAGGUGGGGAAAGUCCAGCCAUCCACGACUUGUCCUGCAGCCAAGAGGGUCCAGGUCAGUGCUGGGGAGCAGGACUGUGCUGCCACAGGGAUCUCCACACUGCAGCCCUUGCCCUGCAGCCAAAGCAGGUGAGGGCAGUGCCCUCUGAAGCAGGAGGACACCUCCAUGUGUGCCACUGUCCUUGGAUGAGGGAGGAUGGCAGGAGAAGAGGGCCAAGGCAUCCCUGGAGAAGUCCUGCAAGCUCCCAGCUUGCCAUUUGUGCCAUCCUGGCAUUUCCCUGCUAUCUCCUGGUGCUGAAGGACAGCUCAAACGCCUCGUUAAUCACCGCUGAUGACGGAGCUGUGGCACUCAGGUCCUGCUGGCUGCUGCUUCCCCAGCCAGGGAUGUUUUGCCGAUGCUGCUCCCUGAAAACUCCAGCUGAAAACUGGGGGAAAACUGCCCCCCUCGGAGCUGUAGUUUGUGGAAGAUGUUCCUACUCUGUUCCAGUCUCUCAUUCCUGCUCAUAGGGCACACAGUGAGUUGUGCCCUUGCAAACCUGCAUCUUUUUACAGUACAUUUUUCCCUUCUCUGUGCUUGUCAAGAUCGAGGGCAGCUCCGUGGUGGGCUGAUCUGCUGCUGCAUUGAUCUGGCAAAGGCUGGGGGUGAAAGCCCCACAGCCUCCAGACGAGGCCAUAGAGCUUUCAGGAUGCAGUUUUUCCGAAUCUGUCCAUCACACAGCAAACAAACACCCCCAGCCUGGAGGCAGCUGGCUCGGGGGUGAGCAUCGAUCGCUGGCUGCUGGGUGAGACCCACCAGAACCCCACCGGUGUCAGGAGGCAGCUCCAGCCCUCCCAGCUCCCAAUCACAGGGCUGGGAAGGAAAGCCAGCCUUCUCAGGAAUCAAUCAUUUGACAUCUGCUGUCAGCCUUCUGACACCCAGCCCCGCCGGUGAGGACCCCAGCAGGAAGCCUGGUGGAUCUCAGCUUGUUUUGGUCUUAAUCUGACCUGGUUUUGUGAUAAUGCCAUCAUCCAUCACUGCCUCGGCUUGUGGGGAGGGGAGGUUAAACUCCUCCCUCACGCUCCACCGCUCCCCUGCCACUGCUUUAUCUCUGCAGAAGCUGCAUUCGAGUGCAAUUCACUUUGUUAUUAAUUUCUUUUACUCAGAGGCUUUUCAAGUGCCCGGCAGCGGGGCUGGUGUCAGGAGAGGCUGCACAGCCCGGCAGCUGCAGUGCUGGAGGGGAUUUGAGCAGCCAGCUCCUCCAAGGGCAGCAGGCAGAGAGCUGAGAGCCCGAAUGGUGAAACUGCCCCGUGGAGAUGGCUCUGGACUGCAGCAGUUCUUCCUCAGAGCUGGAUCAGGAUGGGACUGCAUCACCCUGGCACCCAUGGAGAGCUGCUGCACAGGGACAGUCCAGCUCAGCGGCCCGUGGGUGUCCCUUCAGCAGGUGACAUGUCUCGGUGAGCCCACUGCUGUAGGAGGGUCUGCAGUGCUCUCUGGCCCUUUCCCAGCUGCACAGAUCCCCCUGCCUGCAAUCCCCAGGGAAUCCACCCACACAGAGCUGCACUCCCAGCUGCACAAAAGCUGCUGGAGGGCCAGCCUGUGUCCCUCUGUCCCCCCCAGGCCACCCUGCCACGCCUUGCACUGCUCUGGGGACUGGGAGUGCUGGGACCCUUCCCGUGGGUUUGAUGUGCGCUUAAUCUGGUAGUGAAACUAUAUUGCAAAAUGUAAUAAAUGAGAGGUUUAAUCAAACCCAGCCAGCCAGCACUGAUGGAAACUUGGUGGCGGAAGAAAAUAUUGCGUUUGUGUUUGUUUAUCUCCCCCUGUGCUCCUGGGGCCAUGUCCUGACUCUGGUGGAGAGCUCCUCGUGCUUGGUGGCGCUGGGAGG